GUACAGACCUUGCACAAGAACCCAACAGUGACCGCUAAUGCCAAGUCCACACUAAUCCAUUUGUUGUUUGAAAAAGUCAAUGAGAAAGGAUGGAAACUUUUUUGAAAUGAUUGAAAACAAAAGUGUGAACUUUCUGACCCAAAACUGCUGAGCUCUGAAAACUCAUUAUAUUUGUUCUUCCAUUGUUGCCAUUGUUUUGCUGAAGUAGCUCAAGGAAGUCCAAGGUCACAUUGAACCCAGAAGAAGAACUGAGGAAGUGCUACAAAUAAAUGAAAUUGACCCAUAAAUAAUGUUCCCCUGAGAGGGUGGACUGAGUCAUCAGCGUGUGUUCCAUCGAGACGGACAGAUGGUGUUUGUAUGCUGUGACUUUAUAAUGAGAACUUUACAAUCAGGUUGUUGUAUUUACACACACACACACACACACACACACACACACACACACACACACACACACACACCAUGGCUCGGGUUAUUACAUCUAUAACGCUCACAUUCAUCACCGGGACACAAUGUUGCAGUCCAAACACGAACGCAGAACAGAUUUCAUCUUUCAGUUCAGAUGACUCGAGCUCUCCAAUAAUCCACAACAGGGUUCCUGAUUCUGUUCCUUUCAUGCCAAUCACACGUCAACAUCAGGCAGCAAUAACAACAUUCAACUCUCUCGCUGUGUGUGUGUGUGUGUGUGUGUGUGUGUGUGUGUGUGUGGUUUGCCCUGACAAGCUUAGAACCUUAAGUCCAAUGUUCUUCCAGUGACCUGGAUGGUGAUGAUUAGAAUAAAUAAAAAGUUAGUUUUUUGUUUCUAUUUAUGUUUUGUCUGCUCUCUUCUCCUUUAGGUCUGAUCUCCCUCUAAUCAAUGAUCCAAUCAGUUGUCUUUGAUUUGCUCCACUUAAUUUGAUCUGACCAGUUCCCAUUGAUAUCAUUGAUCUGGUCAGUUAUUUUCUCUUUGAUCUGGUCAGUUCCUUUUUGAUGUUCUCAUUGAUCUGGUAAUUUAUGCUUACUUUGAUCUUGUAAAUUGUGUUCCCUUUGAUCAGGUCAGUUACUUUUCUCUUUGAUCUGGCCAGGUAUCUUCUCUUUUAUUUGGUUAGUAUUUUUUUUUUUUGCUUUGUUCUGACAAAUUUACCUUUACCAACUUCUCUUUGAUCUGGUUGGUUGUUUUCUGUUUGAUUUGAUCAGUUAAAUUCUCUUUGAUCGAUCCUGUUUCCCUUUUGAUAUACUCUCUUUGAUCUGGACAUUUUUUUCUCUUAUCUCGUCAUAUAUCUUUUGAUCCAUUUUCUUUUAUAUAUUGUAUUUGUUUGGUUCCCUUUGAUCCGCUCUGUUUCCUUUGUUCUUACUGGCUUGUUUCGAGUGUCUGUUCUUUUCUUUUUGAUCUUGUACACAAAGUUGUUUUCAGUGCUUUUUGAAAUUGUCUAUAAAUCAAAACCUACAGAAA